UUUCACGUGAUUCUGAGGCAGUGUAGUUAGCUAGUUGUUUUCUUGCCGAGAUGGACUUGCAUCCCGAACGGUUUAUUUCGAACAACUGCUUUUUGCACUACCACGGAAAUCACUUGACU
ensembl:miRNA cin-mir-34 cin-mir-34